UACAGAGGGUGCGAGCGUUAAUCGGGAUUACUGGGCGUAAAGGGUGCGUAGGCGGCGCGGUAAGUCGGGUGUGAAAUCUCGGAGCUUAACUCCGAAACUGCAUUCGAUACUGCCGUGCUUGAGGACUGGAGAGGAGACUGGAAUUUACGGUGUAGCGGUGAAAUGCGUAGAUAUCGUAAGGAAGACCAGUGGCGAAGGCGGGUCUCUGGACAGUUCCUGACGCUGAGGCACGAAGGUCAGGGGAGCAAACGGG
rnacentral:rRNA from 1 species